rfam:Bombyx mori DNA, contig: Bm_scaf76_contig32058, strain: p50T/Dazao, build 2, whole genome shotgun sequence.
AAAAGUUAAAUUUGUAUGGAGUUGGAAAGAUUGCCUGCGUUUGCCGCUAGGGGCGCUGUUCCAAACUGCAUACAAAUUUGAGUUA